GUAGGUGGCAAGCGUUGUCCGGAAUUAUUGGGCGUAAAGCGCGCGCAGGUGGGUUCUUUAAGUCUGAUGUGAAAGCCCCCGGGCUCAACCGGGGAGGGUCAUUGGAAACUGGGGAACUUGAGUGCAGGAGAGGAAAGUGGAAUUCCACGUGUAGCGGUGAAAUGCGUAGAUAUGUGGAGGAACACCAGUGGCGAAGGCGACUUUCUGGCCUGUAACUGACACUGAGGCGCGAAAGCGUGGGGAGCAAACAGGAUUAGGUACCCUGGUAGUCCACGCCGUAAACGAUGAGUGCUAAAUGUUGGGGGGGUUUCCGCCCCUCAGUGCUGCAGCUAACGCAUUAAGCACUCCGCCUGGGGAGUACGGUCGCAAAGACUG
rnacentral:rRNA from 1 species